GCCCUUUCUUCGGUUUCGUACGCUUCGUUCGUCCAGGCGGUGAACCUGGUGCAGCGAGCAGGCCGGGGGGCGUUGUUGGCGAAGGCGGACGUGGAGGCGGCUUUCCGCCUUUUGCCCAUUCACCCGAAGUGCCAUCACUUGCUGGGUUGUCACUUCGAGGGGGAAUAUUACGUAGAUCUUUGUUUGCCCAUGGGGUGCUCUAUAUAGUGCGCGUACUUUGAAAAAUU